GCUGGGCAUGGUGGCGGGUGCCUGUAAUCCCAGUUACUUGGGAGGCUGAGACAGGAGAAUCGCUUGAACCUGGGACGUAGAGGUUGCGGUGAGCCAAGAUCGCGCCACUGCACUCUAGCCUGGGUGACAGAGCGAGACUCUGUCUGAA
ensembl:misc_RNA Metazoa_SRP Metazoan signal recognition particle RNA